rnacentral:rRNA from 1 species
GACAGAGGGUGCAACCGUUGUUCGGAUUUACUGGGCGUAAAGCGCGUGUAGGCGGCUUUGCAAGUCGGAUGUGAAAGCCCACGGCUCAACCGUGGAAGUGCAUCCGAAACUGCAUGGCUGGAGUCUCGGAGAGGAAGGUGGAAUGCUUGGUGUAGAGGUGAAAUUCGUAGAUAUCAAGCAGAACACCUGCGGCGAAGGCGGCCUUCUGGACGAUGACUGACGCUGAGACGCGAAAGCGUGGGGAGCAAACAGG